rnacentral:misc_RNA from 1 species
CCGAGUGAGGGCCCCCGGCCCGACCUCCAACCCUUUGUUAUCAAAACCACUGUUGCCUCGGGGGCGACCCGGGCCCGUCGGCCCAGGGCCCCCGGUGGACAAUUUCAAAACACUGCAUCUUUGCGUCGGAUUACAAAAGUUUAAUUGAUUA